UACGUAGGGUGCGAGCGUUAAUCGGAAUUACUGGGCGUAAAGCGUGCGCAGGCGGUUUUUUAAGACAGGCGUGAAAUCCCCGGGCUCAACCUGGGAACUGCGCUUGUGACUGGAAGACUAGAGUAUGGCAGAGGGGGGUGGAAUUCCACGUGUAGCAGUGAAAUGCGUAGAGAUGUGGAGGAACACCGAUGGCGAAGGCAGCCCCCUGGGCCAAUACUGACGCUCAUGCACGAAAGCGU
rnacentral:rRNA from 1 species